rnacentral:lncRNA from 1 species
UAUGUUUGAUAAGUGGUUGCGAUUAAGAUGUUCUCAGUUAAAUAGGAAGUGUUGUUUGUCUGCUUUGUUAUGUUUUUAUGCUUUUCUUGAUAAUGAAUAAAAACUGUUCAAUUUUUUAAAAAAAGAAAAGAAAAUUGGUCGCACUCUAGAGCCCUGCAUAAUACCUGCUAAUAUCCAAAGACAAAUCUGCUUACAUUUUCUUCUUUUCUCUUUUUUCUAAACUGAGCACCAGAUGACCUUUGACCUCUUCUUGUCCAUCUUCCAUUGGUGUUAUUUUGUAUUCCAGUGUCAACACCCAUCCCCUAACCCGAGAAUCACCACAACACAACCAGACCUACAUCUUAGUGCACAGAUUCAGUUUGUUUAGGGUUUUUUUUUCCCAGGGAUUUCACACAACCCAGGAAAAAUAAUUAAUAUAUAAGGGGCUUGGAUUGACAACAUUAUGAAUGAAAUGUGCUGUAUUUGGAAGCAGCCAGACCCCUCCCCUUUGGACAGGUUGUGUGUCCGACACAGUGUCAGACAAGGGCUCUCACACUCACUUUACACAUGCAUAUAUAAAACACAUCGGUGUAAAUUAACAGAUUAUAUCAUGUUAUGUAAUUGAGUUACAGCUACUGUAACUCAGUUACUCCUGUUAAUGUGAACUGACUGAGUGUUUGUGGUUUACCUCUCAGACUGACUGAAAAUGAUGAUGGAGGAAGAGGAGGACAGAGCAGAGUCUGCAGGGUCCAGCUGUCCGUCUGUGAGGAGUGACUGGUCCAAAGGUCAACCUCCACUCUUCAGUGCUGAACCUGGACCAACAAGAGUGGACCAGCAGAGCUCAGAGGUUCCCAGUGGUCAGUCUGCCCAGCAGCAUCAAACACAGCUUGACUCCAUAUUUAUGGUCUGUACAUGUACAACAACUACUGUUACAUCUAUUCUGUUCACAGUCAUCUCUGACCACCACCAGUAUGUAAACAUGGGGUUAGUAUCUUGCCCAACGAUAUUUGGCAUGUAGACUGGAGGAGCCUGGGAUCGACCUUCAACCUUCUGGUGAGUAGGUGACCCGCUCUACCACCUGAGCUACAGCCACCUCCGAUUGUGAGCUGCUGGUCACAAUUGGGCUGAUCGGUGGCUGAUCGGUGAUUGCUGCUACAGCCUCCAGAUUAGCCAGCAGCUCAUCCUGCUCAACAUUUUCUCACCAACUUUAAUGGAAGUGUGAUGUUUUCAGCUGAAGUGAUGGUCAGGGUGGCCUCCCUCUCCUCUUCUUCUCCUCUUCCUCUUUCAUUUGUAAAGCCACUUCUGCUGCUUUCAUUCAUGUGGAAGUCCUGUAGCUGAGUUUGGGAGAGACUAACAGCCUCGGCAGCAGAGGGGAGAAAGGCUGUAACACCACCACUAUACUCUAUUCUACCUGUCACAUCAUUUUAUCAGGAAACAAAUAUAUGCUCAUGUUUUUAUUGUGUUUGGCUUGAAGAGGUAGUGACCUGUGGUCAGAGUGUGUGUCGGAUAAUCUGGCCCAAGAUGAGGCCAAACUGAAAUGGGA